rnacentral:rRNA from 1 species
AGCAGCCGCGGUAAUUCCAGCUCCAAUAGCGUAUAUUAAAGUUGUUGCAGUUAAAAAGCUCGUAGUUGAAUUUCGGGACUAAUAUGUCGGUCGUACUUUGUACGUACUAGCAUUAUUGGUUUCUCCCUUCUGACGAACCACGAUGUCAUUAAUUUGGUGUCAUGGGAAAUCAGGACUGUUACUUUGAAAAAUUAGAGUGUUUAAAGCAAGCUCGCGCUUGAAUACAUUAGCAUGGAAUAAUGAAAUAGGACGUUUGAUUCUAUUUUGUUGGUUUCUAGGAUCGACGUAAUGAUUAAUAGGGAUAGUUGGGGGCAUUAGUAUUCAAUUGUCAGAGGUGAAAUUCUUGGAUUUAUUGAAGACUAACUACUGCGAAAGCAUUUGCCAAGGAUGUUUUCAUUAAUCAAGAACGAAAGUUAGGGGAUCGAAGACGAUCAGAUACCGUCGUAGUCUUAACCAUAAACUAUGCCGACUAGGGAUCGGAUGAUGUUAAUUUUUAAUGACUCAUUCGGCGCCUUAACC